CCUACGGGUGGCUGCAGUGAGGAAUAUUGGUCAAUGGACGAGAGUCUGAACCAGCCAAUUAGCGUGAAGGAUGACUGCCCUAUGGGUUGUAAACUUCUUUUAUAUGGGAAUAAAAUGUUCCACGUGUGGGAUUUUGUAUGUACCAUAUUAAUAAGUAUCGGCUAACUCCGUGCCAGCAGCCGCGUUAAUACGGAGGAUACGCGCGUUAGCCGGAUUUAUUGGGUUUAAAGGGAGCGUAGGUGGAUUGUUAAGGCAGUUGUGAAAGUUUGCGGCUCAACCGUAAAAUUGCAGUUGAAACUGGCAGUCUUGAGUACAGUAGAGGUGGGCGGAAUUCGUGGUGUAGCGGUGAAAUGCUUAGAUAUCACGAAGAACUCCGAUUGCGAAGGCAGUUCACUGGACUGCAACUGACACUGAGGCUCGAAAGUGUGGGUAUCAAACAGGAUUAGAUACCCCAGUAGUC
rnacentral:rRNA from 1 species